rnacentral:rRNA from 1 species
CAGGCUUAACACAUGCAAGUCGAGGGGCAGCAUGGUCUUAGCUUGCUAAGGCCGAUGGCGACCGGCGCACGGGUGAGUAACACGUAUCCAACCUGCCGUCUACUCUUGGACAGCCUUCUGAAAGGAAGAUUAAUACAAGAUGGCAUCAUGAGUCCGCAUGUUCACAUGAUUAAAGGUAUUCCGGUAGACGAUGGGGAUGCGUUCCAUUAAAUAGUAGGCGGGGUAACGGCCCACCUAGUCUUCGAUGGAUAGGGGUUCUGAGAGGAAGGUCCCCCACAUUGGAACUGAGACACGGUCCAAACUCCUACGGGAGGCAGCAGUGAGGAAUAUUGGUCAAUGGGCGAGAGCCUGAACCAGCCAAGUAGCGUGAAGGAUGACUGCCCUAUGGGUUGUAAACUUCUUUUAUAAAGGAAUAAAGUCGGGUAUGGAUACCCGUUUGCAUGUACUUUAUGAAUAAGGAUCGGCUAACUCCGUGCCAGCAGCCGCGGUAAUACGGAGGAUCCGAGCGUUAUCCGGAUUUAUUGGGUUUAAAGGGAGCGUAGAUGGAUGUUUAAGUCAGUUGUGAAAGUUUGCGGCUCAACCGUAAAAUUGCAGUUGAUACUGGAUAUCUUGAGUGCAGUUGAGGCAGGCGGAAUUCGUGGUGUAGCGGUGAAAUGCUUAGAUAUCACGAAGAACUCCGAUUGCGAAGGCAGCCUGCUAAGCUGCAACUGACAUUGAGGCUCGAAAGUGUGGGUAUCAAACAAGAUUAGAUACCCUGGUAGUCCACACGGUAAACGAUGAAUACUCGCUGUUUGCGAUAUACUGCAAGCGGCCAAGCGAAAGCGUUAAGUAUUCCACCUGGGGAGUACGCCGGCAACGGUGAAACUCAAAGGAAUUGACGGGGGCCCGCACAAGCGGAGGAACAUGUGGUUUAAUUCGAUGAUACGCGAGGAACCUUACCCGGGCUUAAAUUGCAGAUGAAUUACGGUGAAAGCCGUAAGCCGCAAGGCAUCUGUGAAGGUGCUGCAUGGUUGUCGUCAGCUCGUGCCGUGAGGUGUCGGCUUAAGUGCCAUAACGAGCGCAACCCUUGUUGUCAGUUACUAACAGGUUCCGCUGAGGACUCUGACAAGACUGCCAUCGUAAGAUGUGAGGAAGGUGGGGAUGACGUCAAAUCAGCACGGCCCUUACGUCCGGGGCUACACACGUGUUACAAUGGGGGGUACAGAGGGCCGCUACCACGCGAGUGGAUGCCAAUCCCCAAAACCUCUCUCAGUUCGGACUGGAGUCUGCAACCCGACUCCACGAAGCUGGAUUCGCUAGUAAUCGCGCAUCAGCCACGGCGCGGUGAAUACGUUCCCGGGCCUUGUACACACCGCCCGUCAAGCCAUGGGAGCCGGGGGUACCUGAAGUGCGUAACCGCGAGGAGCGCCCUAGGGUAAAACUGGUGACUGGGGC